GAAAUUCUUCUCGGCGAACUUAACGAAAAAGCUUUAGCCUUCCUUGCCCAAAUCAACACUAGCCCGGCCCUAUUUUGCCGAGAACUUCACGCCGGCUCGCCGAAUGCCAAAACCGACUUCGCCCCCACGUUUUGUGACCUACCAAUAGGGUUUCCAAGGCUUCAAAUGAGAUCAAUCUCAUACUUUCACAAAAACCCCAUUUUGGAGCCCUAGGUUUGCACCCAUAGCAAACCACCAAUAAA
rnacentral:lncRNA from 1 species